ensembl:lncRNA
GUCCCACCACAUCCACAGCCUGGGGAAAAAAGGAAAAGAGGGAAAGGAGAAAACAAACAAACAAGCACACACACAAAAAACAGAACAGAAGGGUUUAAACACCAGAAUGCUGAGGCUUUGGUUAUGACUUAAUCCCCAGUUCAGACUAGCAAGUGACAUGGAACAGAACUAAAAACAAUAAUGCCGGACAGGCCACACCCACAAGAGACAAAAGUGACUCAUCACCUGCUAGCAUGAACCUAGGGUAAAAUUCUAGUACUUUAGCCCCGCCCACCCCCACACACACCUGUCCUACACGGACGGACACAGGAAGAGGCCGGAGCUCCUCGUCGAACGUGACAAGCAUACGAGGCUGCAUCGCUGCUACCAGGCCGUACAGGACGUAGUGAGACUUCCCCAAAAUGACUGCAGAAUUAAGGGGGAAAAAAUGAAUGAAGGACACUAGGACCGUGAGGAGUCCGGCCACCGCCACCUGACUCAUGAGCUGCCUGUCGCUGUGGUACGGACACAACGUCAGCGUCCCUUUACCCAGAUGCGUCAAUCCCUACAUGCGCGCACACACACACAAAUUUACAGUAGAAC